CUAUCCCGUCGCAACUGGCGAGGGUGGACACCACCGGGGAGCGGCAACCUGACGCCUGACCGGUCGUCCGCCUGGGCCGGGAAG
rnacentral:ncRNA from 2 species